GACGAACGCUGGCGGCGUGCUUAACACAUGCAAGUCGAACGGAAAGGCCCUGCUCUUGUGCGGUGCUCGAGAGGCGAACGCGUGAGUAUAACGUGUGUAACCUGCCCUUGUCUUUGGGAUAACACCUGGAAACUCGGGCUAAUACCGGAUAUGAGCUCUUGAUGCACGGUGGGGGUUGGUAAGAUUCGGCGGUUGGGGAUGGACUCGCGGGUUAUCAGCUUGUUGGUGGGGUAGUGGCUUACCACGGCUUUGACGGGUAGCCGGCAUGGGAGUGUGACCGGGCACAAUGGGACUGAGGUAGGGACCAGACGGCUACGGGAGGCAGCGGUGGGAAAUAUUGCACAAUGGGCGGAAGCCUGAUGCAACAACGCCGGGUGCGGAAUGACGGCUUUUGGGGUGUAAACCGCUUGCGCCUGUGACGAAGCGUGAGUGACGGUAACGGGUAAGGAAGCACCGGCUAACUACGUG
rnacentral:rRNA from 1 species